GACUUCUCAGGUGGUCUAGUGGUUAGAGUGUCCGCCUCGGAUACGGGAGGUCGCGGGUUCAAACCCCAGACCGGGUUA